AUUGAACGCUGGCGGCAUGCCUUACACAUGCAAGUCGAACGGUAACGGGCCUUCGGGUGCCGACGAGUGGCGAACGGGUGAGUAAUACAUCGGAACGUGCCCGAUCGUGGGGGAUAACGAGGCGAAAGCUUUGCUAAUACCGCAUACGAUCUACGGAUGAAAGCAGGGGACCGCAAGGCCUUGCGCGGACGGAGCGGCCGAUGGCAGAUUAGGUAGUUGGUGGGAUAAAAGCUUACCAAGCCGACGAUCUGUAGCUGGUCUGAGAGGAUGAUCAGCCACACUGGGACUGAGACACGGCCCAGACUCCUACGGGAGGCAGCAGUGGGGAAUUUUGGCCCAUGGGCGCAAGCCUGAUCCCGCCAUGCCGCGUGCAGGAUGAAGGCCUUCGGGUUGUAAACUGCUUUUGUACGGAACGAAAAGCCUUCUUUUCAUACCGGAGGGUCAUGACGGUACCGUCAGAAUAAGCACCGGCUCCCUACGUG
rnacentral:rRNA from 1 species